AAGAAAGCGUUGAUCUGACAUAGCUGAUAGGAUUUUUUUCGGUUCCUUGGAUUAUUGGCUGAUGAUUGCAGAGUACGAGCGCAAUAAGUUCCCAUUAUGGAGUGAUAUGAAUCGAGUAAACUGUUGUAGUAUGGCAGUGAUAAUGGUCAAGAUUGAAGAAAGCCAGACCGAGUUGUAAGAGAAUGCGUGUUGAUCGCGAUGAAUGGCAUGAUGUUGAUGACCGCAGACUGGAGGACUGAGCCAACUGAACUGAACUGCGUGUUGGAUAUUAUUUGAACAUCUAUUCAAACGUCAAAAUGGAAAUAAUUCAGUGCGUGGCUAGAUGGUCAACAGAUGUAAAUCGUUGCCUGCAAUAGUGCACGUGUCUUGUUGUUCUAUCGGAUCUAUAGUUGGUUCGGUACAUGUAUUGUCCAAGAGUAUGAGACAGAGGACUCGAAAUUUCGGACAUGGGGCGAGUGACCACUGCUAGCGAGCUUUGUGACCAAUGACGUGGCCAGGGUUGCCAGCCAUUAUUACAGUGAGUGAAAGCAGAAAGGAUAGUCCAGGUGCUGAAGCCUCUUGAGGAGCUUGGCAGCGAUGAAAAAACACGUUCACAAGUUUCACCACGAGUGGAUCACGCCCAUCAGAAUCUCUGGUCUGUACUGUCACCCGGUCGAGCAUUGCCUCUCAAACAUAUUGCCGGUAAUGGCUGGUCCCGUCCUGCUCGGCUCUCACUGUAUGCUGCUGCUGCUGUGGGCCUGCAUCUCGCUGGCCUCCGUGUCCGUCGCACACUGUGGGGCGGCUUCCACCUGCCGGUCAUGCCGUCCAACGAAUACCACGACUACCAUCAUGCAAAGUUCAACCAGAACUUUGGCAUACCGGGAAUCUUUGAUUUGCUGCAUGGCACGGACAGUCACUUCCGUAAAUAAAAGUCGUACGAGCGCCAUUCCAUGCUACUUGCCACCACCCCAGCCAACGUUCUGAUUCCAGACGAACCGAAGAAAUGCCAGUAAAAAGGUUAAGUCUGCAGUGCAUAUGCAUGUGUGCAUCCUCACUGCUGUUGCUAGUCUCCUCACAGUGCACCCUUGACCGUCCCAUUCUCCAGUUUCAAUGCUAGUCUCCUCACAGUCCACCCUUGACCGUCCCAUUCUCCAGUUUCAAUGCUAGUAUCAUCACUACUCUACAUGUAUAUGUAAUGUAGCAUAUCCACCAUCAAUACUGGUCACAUGACAAAUUACACUUACCUACCCUCACUACUUCAAGUAUACCGCUGAUAUUAUUAUUUUUAUUCACAUAGCUAUGGGUUUUUUUGUGGCAAAUUCACUAGUGCCCUAGCUCGGCCCAAUCUGUGUUCUAUCAUGGGUGGUUGAUUGACGACAUCACAUUGUUCAAUCUUCCAGUCCUAUCAGUGACAACUCUCAUAGCCAAUGUGCAUUGUUUCCGACGGCAAUCACCAAGAAGUUAUGUUCUCUUUCUCACCUAGGGCCGUUCACAAUUUGUUUUCGGUCUCUUUUUUAACCGUAUAUUUGACUAUACUCAUUCAAAAAAUGUACCCUAUUCAGUACAACACACACUUGUACAUUCUCUUGCAUGCUCAUUCAUACAUACUCUCACACCAAGAGACCAGAUAUGACCGA